UCUAUGGCCAUACCACCCUGAACACGCCGGAUCUCAUCUGAUCUCGGAAGCUAAGCAGGGUUGGGCCUAGUAAGUACUUGAAUAGGAGAAAUACCAAGUUGACAAUGCAA
rnacentral:rRNA from 1 species